UUUUUUUUGGAGCAGUGAGGAAUAUUGGUCAAUAGCCUAACGGCUGAACCAGCAACUUGGGAGAAUGUAUAGUCCUCUUAUGAGGCUAGUUAUGUUUUUUUGGUGUAAUGCACCUUGAAGAAGGGAUUACAAAAAAUGAAUAUAAUACCAACUACGUUGGAUAAAGUUCUAGAUAGGAUACUGAUUAUGACAAUUUCCUAUCUACAUGUCUUGACCAAAUUACGUGCCAGCAGUCGCGGUAAUACGUAGAAGACUAGUGUUAUUCAUCUUUAAUAGGUUUAAAGGGUACCUAGACGGUAUUACUAACCCUAAAAAGGGAAAUAGUUUUGCUAGAGUUUUAUAUGAGAAGGGGAGUAUUUAUAGAGUAGAGAUGAAAUUCUUUGAUACUAUAAGGACUGGUAAAGGCGAAAGCAACCUUUUAUGUAAAAACUGACGUUGAGGGACGGAGGCUUGGAUAGCGAACAGGAUUAGAUACCCUAGUAGUCUUUGCAGAGAAUGAUGAAUGCCAUAGACUAGAUAUUUUUUUAGUCUAUAAAUGAAAGUGUAAGCAUUCCACCUCAAGAGUAAUGUGGCAACGCAGGAACUGAAAUCAUUAGACCGUUUCUGAGAACAGUAGUGAAGUAUGUUGUUUAAUUCGGUAGCCCUCGAAAAACCUUACCACAACUUGAAUAGCGUCAUCAGUUGAUUAGUGUUGAAAUACAUUUAUUACGGUGAUGUUACAAGUGUUGCACGGUUGUCUUCAGCUAAUGUCGUGAGAUUUUGGUUAGUUCCAUAAAAUUAGCGUAAGCCCCGGCUUUAUUUUUAAAUUUUUAGCAUAAAGCAGUUCAUCACUAUUUGGAUUAUAUGAUAACAGGGAUCAAGACAAAUCAUCAUGGCCUAAAUGUUGUGGGCUAUAGACAUGCCACAUGGAAAAAAAA
rnacentral:rRNA from 1 species